rnacentral:rRNA from 1 species
CCCUUAGAUGUCCGGGGCCGCACGCGCGCUACACUGAUGCAUUCAACGAGCCUAUCCUUGACCGACAGGUCCGGGUAAUCUUUGAAUCUGCAUCGUGACGGGGAUAGAUUAUUGCAAUUAUUAAUCUUCAACGAGGAAUGCCUAGUAGGCGCAAGUCAUCAGCUUGCGUCGAUUACGUCCCUGCCCUUUGUACACACCGCCCGUCGCUCCUACCGAUUGGGUGUGCUGGUGAAAUGUUCGGAUCGGCCGUUUGUCGCGGUUUCCGCGUCAUGUGGCUGAGAAGUUCAUUAAACCCUCCCACCUAGAGGAAGGAGAAGUCGUAACA